UACGUAGGCAGCAAGCGUUGUUCGGAAUUCCUGGGCGUAAAGGGUGCGUAGGCGGCUUUCUAAGUUGGAUGUGAAAACUCUGGGCUCAACCCAGAGACUGCAUCCAAAACUGGAGAGCUUGGGUUCUGGAGGGGAAAGCGGAAUUCCUGGUGUAGCGGUGAAAUGCGUAGAUAUCAGGAGGAACACCGGUGGCGAAGGCGGCUUUCUGGACAGAUACCGACGCUGAGGCACGAAAGCUAGGGGAGCAAACAGG
rnacentral:rRNA from 1 species